AUUUGGAUAAACUUUUCAAAAUUCUAAAAAAACCCCAAAUAUAUUUUUAUAAACAAUAAAUAAGUCUUUAAAAAGAUAAUUUCUAUACAAAAAACCAACAUUAUGGCUGCAAACAAAUCAUUUGCCUUAAAGAAAACUAACGUUGAUGAAGUAUUUGCAAAAUAUUCAGAUAGAUUGAAAUCGAAAAACAACUGAGAACCUAAGCAAAUUAAUAGCAAUAGCAGAUAUCAAAUAGUAACAUCUAACUUUAAUAUUACGCAGAGAAAGAACUAAAACCUUAUUUGCAGUUACAAACUCUCAAAUUCUCUUGCGAAUUAUAAAGCCGUUUAUAAAGUUAUACUCCUAAGAACUUCUCAAUAUUCAAAUUUGCAAAUACAUUCUAAUAUUUCCAAGAAACAAUAUAAAGUUCAUUGCUGCUAUUAAACUGAAAAUUCAUUUACAAACGCUGACAUUCACUUUGACGCCGGCAGAAUACUUUUGUAUGUAAACUUGAAAGAUGGUUAAUAAAAGAGAAUCAAAUUCCUCUCAAGACAAUAGUAAUAAGAAAGAUGAGAAAUCUUCCAGAAAAAGG